GCCCUGCAAGGCGCGGAAGCUUCUGCCGGCGCUUAAAUAAACAAGCACAGACGGAGUCCACCGGACAGCACCCCACCGCGCACCCCGACCAAGCACGGCCUGCGAACUGCGCGUGUGUGCGCUGCUCGCCUCAGGCGGGAGCUACAUCCACCUGUGACACCAGUGCUCAGGAUUUGAAGGAGCCGAAGUGGAAGAGGGGCGAAAGGGAUCUCCAGGCUUGAAUCUGAAGCCGGGAGUGAGAAAGAGAGGUGCAGCGUCCGAGGUGGGGGCACCAUGACGUGAACACCAGGGGUCGACACCACCCAGUCUGUCAGCAUUCCGGGGAAUUUGGCUUUAUUUUGUAUAAACCUGAAGGUGUGAACCGUUGUGUAAGGGGAUGAAAGCCUCCAAGCCUCUGCCCGAGGUUGCAUAAACACGACAAAACGAAGCCCAGUUUCAAAGGUCAGGACUCUGAGGCAGGGGUGACAGCACGCCUAAGGGGCUAGUCUGCGGCGCCCAAACUUACGCACCGUCCCCGCCCGAUGACGUCGCCGCGUCCCCGCCCACUCCCUCUAGCCCCGCCCCCAGUGGCCGAUAGAGGUGGAGUUCUUCCCACGCCGUCAGCCUAGGGCGCGUGGAAAACCUGGAAUGCGGACUUUCCAGCGGCAGCUGGAAGGCCGGAGGACACCUCAGCAACAGCCCGCUGGGAGCAUCGUGUAGGAAGGUGGGAUUCAGUCUAACCAAUCAGUUUACGAUUCUGGAACCCAUGGUACCACUCACGACCUAUUAGAGAGAGAGAGAGAGAGAGAGAGAGAGAGAGAGACGUCUUCUACCACGUGAUGGCUUCUCUUUCAACCAAUCGGGAAAAAGUUUAGUCGUAGGACCCGCUGACCCUUCUCCCAGAGCCUCGCCGGGGAGGGCGGUUACUCCUGCACACUCUAUGAUAACCAAUCACAGCUGGCUGUACAUACCUGGAAGACUUUGGAAGUCAUGUGAUGGAUGAGUGACAUCUCUUAACAGCUGGGCUCCCAAGUAACUUUGUGGAAUAGGAACCCUCCUAUACUUGCUACUCAUAAAUUCAACCUCACCUGUUGAGAAAUAUAACUGUUUUUCCAGCCACUAUGAUAUAUCAACUACAAUAAAUUAGAUUGUCUCAAUUAAUGCACAUUAAUUUUAAUACUGGAGAUUUGAUAAGCAUAUUUAUUAAGCUGAUUAUCUGUUGAUUGUUUGCUUUUUCUGCAUAAAACAUUGUGUCAUUUGGGAAUAAUGAGCUUUGUUUAUCUUCCUUCAUAUUUUUAUAUAUCUUAUUUCUUUUUCUUGUACUGCAUUACUAGCAAAGAGAUCUUGUACAAUGUUGAAUAAAAGUAACUAUAGUUUUUAAGUUGCCUUGCUCCUCAAAGGGAAUUCUUUGUUAACAUUUUACAUUAAUUGCUGUGGUUGGUGUAGGUGUUUCAUAUAGGAGUAUGACAGAAAAGCACAGUAAAUGUUCAAAUUUUAAAAAAUUUAUUACAGUAAAAGAUACAUUGCCAUUAAUCCCCCUGAAAAUUCUCCUCUUUGAUUCAAAUACAUUUAUCUUACCAUUCUUGGCAUGUUCUGAAGUAGUUCUGGAAGUCCUCUUUUGUAAGUGUCUUCAGUUGGCUCUUGUGGCUGCCUCACUGUCUUGAAUUGAUUCAAAACACUUACAUUACGUGGUCAUUUUGACUUGGGAAAAAACCGGAAGUCUCAUGGUACCAGAUACAGUGUGUAAAAGUGGACAAGGACACACCAUUAUGUUUUGACAAGCCUACCUUUCCUUUGGAUGACACUUAGUAGCAACAUUCACCAUAUUUCUGAUCCCAUUCAGCUAAGGUUAUUCAAGUAAAGAGGACUUCCAGAGCUGUUUUUAAAACUGGCAAGAAUGAUGGGAUAAUGUGUUCAAAGUAUGGGGAGUAUUUUGGUAAUGAUGGAUGCAGUGUGUCUUCUAUGUCAUAAUUUUUAAAAAUAUAAAUAUUCAUUAUAUUUUUUGACCA